CUUUUCAAUUACUUUUUUUUCUUUUUAAUUUUCUGUCACCUGAAAGGACCAAAGUACCCUUGUGUCUUUCUACCUUAUCCAAUCUGUUUGUGGUCUGCUCUGUAUCGGAUUGCUCUGAGGCUAGCUUGUUCGUGUCGUCAUGGACUCGUGGUCGCUCGCCGCCGUACCUCGUUGAUGCCCGCGCGAGCUACCCAACUCGCCGCCCUAGCUUGACCACGCCUGAGCGAGAGACUGCAAGUCACCGCCGGUGCUCGCCCAUGGCUGCGCGCGCCGCGGCAACUCGCCCUCGUCACUGCAGCUCUCCGCCGGCGCUCAUCCAUGUCUGCACACGCCGGCGCAGUUCGCCCUCACGUCGCGGAUGCUUACGCGUGCCAGUGCAGUUCGCCGUGGGUGCUCGCCCCCUUGCGGAUGCUUGCGCGUGCCAACACAGCUCGCUGCGGGUGCUCGGCCAUGCCUGCGCGCGACAGCACAGCUCGCCCUCCCCUGCAUGUGUUGGCGCAGCUCGCCCCGCGACAUGCCUGAGAAGUGGGUGGCGCUGAACAUCAGCAUUAGUGGCAUGAUGGCAGCAGCCGCUGGAGGAGAUGGAUGCGUGUCAAGUUCUGAAGAUGUUGAAUGCAAGCAACCUGUAGUAGAUGAGGGAUGAUGACUGUGCUUCCCACAGAUUCCAUACGUCACAUGAGGAGCUUUGUUGAACUGGAAUCAAACGAACAAACCAAGGGAAAGGUAAAACAUAAUACCAUCCAGAAAGAUUGGGUUCCAUGUCGCCACUGCGGUACUGGUGACGGGCAGCACGCGACGCCGAGGAGAUCGGCAGCACGCGACGCCGAGGAGAUCGGCGGCACGUGACGCCGAGGAGAUUGGCGGCACGCGGCGUUGAGGCAAUCAGCGGCGUUGCGACGUCCAGGAGAUGGGGGCGGCAUCCAACGAUUGACCCAAGAAGUCCUGGCGACCAGGGAUGCGGCAAGCACGGUAUUCACAGCGGGCAGCACGCACCCGUCCGCUUCAAGUGCUGAUAUGAUGCCAAAGUACGUGAAGAUAGCAUCAAGGGUACUUUGGUCCUUUCAGGUGCCAAAAAAUUGAAAA